ACUACCAAGGUGCACCUCUAAAGGCCCGUGCGCUACGACUGGGCCAGUAUUGCGCACGAAGGUAAGGUCAGGGCAGGUGUCCCGAGAUACGCUGUUGCCUAUCCGAGUGGGGUGCUUUGGGUCGGUGAGUAAUGUGUAUCUCAUGUUACAGAUGGCGUUCCAUAAGCGGGUCCCUUUAGCCUGCGAUUUAACGUAACUCCGUGCUGUAUGCGGAGCGUUAAAGUCACCGCUUACCACCCAAACCCGUCCAAAACUACCAAAUUCUGUUAGUAGUUAGGCGGUGAAAACAGUGCGUACGCGAACGGGGGGAACUGUAUACAUUGAGUAUAAACAGACUCUCGCUGCGUUUUCAUUCGUAAUUAUUUUCAAUAUUUGAUGAGGGAUGUCGCUGCUAGUCGUAUGCAUGCGACCUGUAACACGUUUCGAAACUAAGGCUCCUACAAGAGGAGAGACACCCGAGAGCGUACUGUAGCCGGA
rnacentral:lncRNA from 1 species